rnacentral:rRNA from 1 species
UACGUAGGUGACAAGCGUUGUCCGGAUUUACUGGGCGUAAAGAGCGCGCAGGCGGUCGAUCAAGUCGAGUGUGAAAGCCCCCGGCUCAACUGGGGAGGGUCAUUCGAUACUGAUCGACUCGAAGGCAGGAGAGGGUAGUGGAAUUCCCGGUGUAGUGGUGAAAUGCGUAGAUAUCGGGAGGAACACCAGUGGCGAAGGCGGCUUCCUGGACCGAUACUGACGCUGAGGCGCGAAAGCCAGGGGAGCAAACGGG